CAAUGGCUAACCUAAGAAUGCCGC
rnacentral:siRNA from 1 species